rnacentral:rRNA from 1 species
UACGAAGGGUGCAAGCGUUACUCGGAAUUACUGGGCGUAAAGCGUGCGUAGGUGGUUUUUUAAGUCCGUUGUGAAAGCCCUGGGCUCAACCUGGGAAUGGCAGUGGAUACUGGAAAGCUAGAGUGCGGUAGAGGGUAGUGGAAUUCCCGGUGUAGCAGUGAAAUGCGUAGAGAUCGGGAGGAACACCAGUGGCGAAGGCGGCUCACUGGCCCGAUACUGACGCUGAGGCACGAAAGCGUGGGAGCAACAGGG